rnacentral:lncRNA from 1 species
GGUUAUCUCACAGCUCACUAGUACCUUUACUUGCAAUCACUUUUAUAGACAUUUUUAUUGACAUACGAUCUAAGUCCCACAAAGUAAAUUUUACUCUGUUCCCCAAUUUUACAGAUGAAGAAACUGAGGCUUGCAGAAGUGAAGUCAUCCAUGCAAUGGUGAUCUCGUGUGAUCCGUAACAAAACACAGAACCAAGACCUGGCCCUAAAGCUGUAAGAACAUCGUCCUGGCAUCUGGCCACAUCUAGCAGGUCCGGUUCCACGGAUCAUCUGAAUGGUCUCCAUGAAAGGUCUGAGGUAAACAGGGCUGGGGAGCUGACCCUCCAACCAUAUGAGAGGAGGAUUCUGAGACAAGAAGUUGUGAGACUUGCCCAAGGCCCUACAGCAAGGAAACCAAACAAUGCUCAAAGGGGUGAUCAGCUUUUGCUUUUUGGAUCAUUUGCCUUUGACUGGUCUUACAAACCCAAAUAAAGGGCAGAAAAGAAGAUUCUCCAAUAUGCCAGUGGCCAAAGGAAACAUUUCCCACUGACCCACAAAUGUCCAGGUAGUAAAUUGCAUUUGUGUCCUGGGUAAAGUUGUAAAUAACACUGUCAACGAUUGGACAAUCGUUUCUAGAUGUUAGUCUAUACUUCCAUGCCACGAGCUACCAAAUAAAUACUCCUGACAUGCUGGUUAUCUCUAGAAGCCAGACACAUAGCUUUGUUCAUCAAGAAAACAUUUGUCCUUGUUUUUAAAAAGAAAUUCUAAUUGCCAUCUCAAAGGCACCAUAUUUUUGGGACUUUGAGUAUUAUGUUUUCAUUUCCUUUGCCUGGUACACCUGCCUCUCCUUCAUCUCUGUACUUAAAUGAUUCCUCACUCUUUGUCCAGGCAAAUCCUCUGAUGUCAGUUUCUCCUAACUGAUGUCAUACCCGAAUAUCUUCCUUCUUUGAAUCCUCAAAUGAGACAGAUAGUCUGAUCU